rnacentral:rRNA from 1 species
CCCCGGUAAACGGCGGCCGUAACUAUAACGGUCCUAAGGUAGCGAAAUUCCUUGUCGGGUAAGUUCCGACCUGCACGAAUGGCGUAAUGAUGGCCAGGCUGUCUCCACCCGAGACUCAGUGAAAUUGAACUCGCUGUGAAGAUGCAGUGUACCCGCGGCAAGACGGAAAGACCCCGUGAACCUUUACUAUAGCUUGACACUGAACAUUGAGCCUUGAUGUGUAGGAUAGGUGGGAGGCUUUGAAGUGUGGACGCCAGUCUGCAUGGAGCCGACCUUGAAAUACCACCCUUUAAUGUUUGAUGUUCUAACGUGGACCCGUAAUCCGGGUUGCGGACAGUGUCUGGUGGGUAGUUUGACUGGGGCGGUCUCCUCCUAAAGAGUAACGGAGGAGCACGAAGGUUGGCUAAUCCUGGUCGGACAUCAGGAGGUUAGUGCAAUGGCAUAAGCCAGCUUGACUGCGAGCGUGACGGCGCGAGCAGGUGCGAAAGCAGGUCAUAGUGAUCCGGUGGUUCUGAAUGGAAGGGCCAUCGCUCAACGGAUAAAAGGUACUCCGGGGAUAACAGGCUGAUACCGCCCAAGAGUUCAUAUCGACGGCGGUGUUUGGCACCUCGAUGUCGGCUCAUCACAUCCUGGGGCUGAAGUAGGUCCCAAGGGUAUGGCUGUUCGCCAUUUAAAGUGGUACGCGAGCUGGGUUUAGAACGUCGUGAGACAGUUCGGUCCCUAUCUGCCGUGGGCGCUGGAGAACUGAGGGGGGCUGCUCCUAGUACGAGAGGACCGGAGUGGACGCAUCACUGGUGUUCGGGUUGUCAUGCCAAUGGCACUGCCCGGUAGCUAAAUGCGGAAGAGAU